AACGAACGCUGGCGGCAGGCUUAACACAUGCAAGUCGAACGCCCCGCAAGGGGAGUGGCAGACGGGUGAGUAACGCGUGGGAAUCUACCCAGAUCUACGGAACAACAGAGGGAAACUUCUGCUAAUACCGUAUACGCCCUACGGGGGAAAGAUUUAUCGGAUUUGGAUGAGCCCGCGUAAGAUUAGCUAGUUGGUGGGGUAAUGGCCUACCAAGGCGACGAUCUUUAGCUGGUCUGAGAGGAUGAUUAGCCACACUGGGACUGAGACACGGCCCAGACUCCUACGGGAGGCAGCAGCGGGGAAUAUUGGACAAUGGGCGCAAGCCUGAUCCAGCCAUGCCGCGUGAGUGAUGAAGGCCUUAGGGUUGUAAAGCUCUUUCACCGAUGAAGAUAAUGACGGUAGUCGGAGAAGAAGCCCCGGCUAACUUCGUGCCAGCAGCCGCGGUAA
rnacentral:rRNA from 1 species